rnacentral:rRNA from 1 species
AAGUGAAGUAGAGGACAGUGGCGGACGGGUGAGUAACGCGUGAGGAACCUGCCUUGAAGAGGGGGACAACAGUUGGAAACGACUGCUAAUACCGCAUGAUGCAUAGGGGUCGCAUGAUCUUUAUGCCAAAGAUUUAUCGCUUCAAGAUGGCCUCGCGUCUGAUUAGAUAGUUGGUGAGGUAACGGCUCACCAAGUCGACGAUCAGUAGCCGGACUGAGAGGUUGAACGGCCACACUGGAACUGAGACACGGCCCAAACUCC